rnacentral:lncRNA from 1 species
UAAGCCAUAUUUUCUUUCCUUGUGCAUCAUUUUUAGGGUUAAAAAUAUUUUUGGUCACUGGGGUUAGGAUGGAAAACAAAAUGUCACCGAAAUUACAAUUUUUCAAAUUUCGUCAUCUCAUUUGCAGUCGUUAACAAAUUAAGUCACAUCCCCUAAUUCCAUCAGUUUUGAGUGCACGUGUUGCGUGUGUGCAGAGGCAAAAUUGGAACUCCAAUUCAAUCUUGAUCAUCAUCAUCAUCCCAGCGCUGCCAAUCCCCCUCUUUCUCUCCCUCCCAUGUUAGCCACCUGCACAACAUCCUCACCCAUCCACCUAGGUCACAACUAACCUCACCGGUGACAACACCUUUCCUCCUCAAUUUCG